UUUACAUUUAGUUUUAUAAUUCUCAAAAUGAAUUUAUACAUAUUAUCUGACACGCUUUUCAAUAGGGACAGAGAGGCAGAUGUUAUUCUCCUUAUUUUAAAGAUGAUGGAACUCAGUCUCCUACAAGUAAGUGACUUAGUUUAAGAUGAGGUGGCUACAAAGUGAAAUGCAGACUGUGAGUUUCAAAUCCGGGGUUCCUCCUAUUAAGGAACGAUUUGGUCAAAUUAGUGCAAACAGAAGUGAGCACCUUAUCUGGAGAAGACUGUGAGAGUUACAAGCAAGGUGCAGAAGUAAAAUCAGGGGUUAGGACAUUAUUUCUAAGGCCCCCUAACCAGCUUUCUAAUUGUAAAAAUGCAGAAACCUCUACUGUUAUCACUUAUGUCACACCCAGAAAGCAUACCUAAAUAUUUACACUGUUAUUUUAACAAUGCAGUUGUUUUAUGAAUAUGAGAAGCCCACUGACAGGUUCUGGGUUACCUUUCCAUUUACUCUUAUUUACUUACACCUUAGAUAAACAUAUUUGCAACCAUAAAAGGCAGCAUUGUUCACUACAAAACUCACCACCUCAUGUUAGACCAAGUCAGGGCCUUAAGUUUGACAGGCCCAGGACGAAGAAGUCAAACAGCAGCAAUGGUGUAAAACUGCUGCUCUCGAGAGACACUCUUUUCUAUCAAUGAAGAGGAAAUCACUGAAGAGAAUAUUCAUAAAUAUUUUCCACAAUAAAGGAGGAGUAUUAAUUGUCCACUGAAAAGAAGACAAGCCGGGCAUGUCUUUUACAAAUCCUGUUAGUAAACGUCACAUCAUUCACAAACUCAUCCUUUCAGCAAACACUGAGCAUCUAUCCUGCUAGCCACAGUGCCAAGCGGUUUACCUUGAUCCAAGCUAUCGUCUAUUUCUUGGAAUCUCACUCUUCGCUUAGAUGGUUUGUGUU
rnacentral:lncRNA from 1 species